GUGAGGAAUAUUGGACAAUGGGCGCAAGCCUGAUCCAGCAAUGCCGCGUGCAGGAAGAAGGCCUUCGGGUUGUAAACUGCUUUUGUACGGAACGAAAAGCCUCUGGUUAAUACCCGGGGGUCAUGACGGUACCGUAAGAAUAAGCACCGGCUAACUACGUGCCAGCAGCCGCGGUAAUACGUAGGGUGCGAGCGUUAAUCGGAAUUACUGGGCGUAAAGCGUGCGCAGGCGGUGAUGUAAGACAGUUGUGAAAUCCCCGGGCUCAACCUGGGAACUGCAUCUGUGACUGCAUUGCUGGAGUGCGGCAGAGGGGGAUGGAAUUCCGCGUGUAGCAGUGAAAUGCGUAGAUAUGCGGAGGAACACCGAUGGCGAAGGCAAUCCCCUGGGCCUGCACUGACGCUCAUGCACGAAAGCGUGGGGAGCAAACAGGAUUAGAUACCCCGGUAGUCC
rnacentral:rRNA from 1 species